rnacentral:rRNA from 1 species
AGAGUUUGAUCCUGGCUCAGGAUGAACGCUAGCGGGAGGCUUAAUACAUGCAAGUCGUACGGUAACAGCAGAGCUUGCUCUGGCUGACGAGUGGCGCACGGGUGAGUAACGCGUACACAACCUACCUCUAAGAGGGGGACAGCCUUGGGAAACUAAGAUUAAUACCCCAUAGUAUUGACAAUUUGAUUGAUAGUCAAUUAAAGCUCCGGCGCUUAGAGAUGGGUGUGCGUCCCAUUAGCUAGUUGGUGAGGUAACGGCUCACCAAGGCGACGAUGGGUAGGGGGCGUGAGAGCGUGAUCCCCCACACGGGUACUGAGACACGGACCCGACUCCUACGGGAGGCAGCAGUAAGGAAUAUUGGACAAUGGGCGAAAGCCUGAUCCAGCCAUCCCGCGUGCAGGAUGAAGGCCCUAUGGGUUGUAAACUGCUUUUAUCAGGGAAGAAACCCCUCGAUUCAUCGAGGGCUGACGGUACCUGAAGAAUAAGCACCGGCUAACUCCGUGCCAGCAGCCGCGGUAAUACGGAGGGUGCAAGCGUUAUCCGGAAUCACUGGGUUUAAAGGGUGCGUAGGCGGCGUCGUAAGUCAGAAGUGAAAGCUUACAGCUUAACUGUAAAAUUGCUUUUGAUACUGCGAUGCUUGAAUUAGGUUGAGGUUAGCGGAAUGUGACAUGUAGCGGUGAAAUGCAUAGAUAUGUCAUA